CCCGGCCUGCCCCGCUCAUCU
rnacentral:miRNA from 1 species